CAAUCGAAUGGGAAAACUCGUGAGGCACGAAUGAUUAACAAAUGGUGUUUCUCUGUGUCUCUCCAGCCAAGCUGACGCUGAUGAAAUUCAUUGGUGCACAAAGAUGUGUUCUACUGUAUGAUGCGAGGGGAUGAAGAAGAGACGAGCAUAAUUACCUGGUCGGCUGAAGUAUAUGUAGAGGCAGAGGACGUUUAAGUGAUAUUCGUGCUUAACCCUUUGUAUGUGCGCACGGACCCUGCCUGUGUGUUCCGAUCAGGAACCAGGCAUAUUCGCUUUACCGAGAGCUUUUAGGUGAUAUUCAUGCAUGUCCCCCUGUCUAUACAUGGGACACUUCCGAAAAGAAAUUAGGAGCAUUCAAGAUGUUUGAACCCCUAUCCGUGUGUGUGGACUUUCACAUGUGCAUUUCAAUCAAGAACUAGGAGUAUUCAGGGCACACAUAGAGUUUAGGUGAUAUUCGUGCAUGAACUAUCGUCCGUGCACGGAAUUUAGGUGAUAUUCGUGCAUGAACUGUUGUCCCUGCACGCAGACACCUACUCCAAGUAAUGAUUGACGAGUACCGUGGUGAGCUUCGCUCCAAAUCUCGCUGAAACACGCUCCAAGGCUAUCGCAAUCUCUUCCAUCUCAUGAAUGCUUUCAACUGGGUCAGGGCCAGCGGGUGUCUUGAUGUCCAAAUCUCCAUGAGAAGAGAUGAAUUUAUACUGCAGUCGCCCUUGAGCUGGAAUCAAACUUGUUCUGUCCGAUGGCCCCUGUCUUCAUUGCUUGCUUGGGAAGUAAAACUGGCCGCCCCUUUCGGUGGAUUCGGUGCCCACC
rnacentral:lncRNA from 1 species